rnacentral:lncRNA from 1 species
GGCGUUUCUUAGUUAAGAUAACAGGGCUUACUACAGUAUUCUUUAAUUAUCAAGGUCCCUUGUAACUCUAAGUCUGUUAUCUCUAAUUGGAGAGAUAAUUAAAUCUUAAAGACCACUCUGACUCUAAUUCAACCAACGUGUGUGGUGUCCAGGAUCGUUGGACUUCCUUAAGAAUUCUAUUUUAUCCAGGCUGGAGUGCAACGGCGUGACUUGGCUCACUGCAACUUCCACCUCCCGGGUUCAAGCGAUUCUCCUGCCUCAGCCUUAC